GUUAAGUGGAGAAUGUUCAGGACUGUCGAGGCGCGCUCCGCACCUGGCCUGAAAGCGGGAGAUUUGGCAACCAGUGCGCGUGGGUGCGCCGGCCCUUGCAGCUGGGGACUCUGGAGGCAGACCUUGCCCAAAGCCAGAGGCAGGAACUCCCCAGAUCCUCCCAGGAGACCAACAAUUGUCAGCACAGCAAAACUGGGCAUUUCUUUUCUUACUGAGCUUUGCAGCUACCUACACAGUUGUGUGUGGCAUCUCCUCCUGGGUGCAAGGACAUGAGAUGACAUCAGCUACGAGCCUAUAUCCUUCAACCCUUGGAAGCCACUGAUCUGCUUUCUGUUUCUAUGGAUCCCCUGUUCUGGACAUUUC
rnacentral:lncRNA from 10 species